CCGGCUUCAAGGGGUUAAUUCUGGAUCUCAAGUAUGGAAACUCGGAGCCUCGGCUUCUGGGGAGCCGGGGUGUCCAGAUGGAUGCCGAGGGACCCUGUGGUGAGCGUCCCUGUGAAAAUGGUGGGAUCUGCUUUCUCCUGGACGGCCACCCCACCUGUGACUGUUCUACCACUGGCUAUGGUGGCAAGCUCUGCUCAGAAGAUGUCAGUCAAGAUCCAGGCCUCUCCCACCUCAUGAUGAGUGAACAAGCUCGAGAGGAGAAUGUGGCCACUUUCCGAGGCUCAGAGUAUCUGUGCUACGACCUGUCUCAGAACCCGAUCCAGAGCAGCAGUGAUGAAAUCACCCUCUCCUUUAAGACCUGGCAGCGUAACGGCCUCAUCCUGCACACGGGCAAGUCGGCUGACUAUGUCAACCUGGCUCUGAAGGAUGGUGCGGUCUCCUUGGUCAUUAACCUGGGGUCCGGGGCCUUUGAGGCCAUUGUGGAGCCAGUGAAUGGAAAAUUCAACGACAACGCCUGGCAUGAUGUCAAAGUGACACGCAACCUCCGGCAGGUAAUG
rnacentral:sRNA from 1 species